rnacentral:rRNA from 1 species
UACAGAGGGGGCAAGCGUUGUUCGGAAUUACUGGGCGUAAAGGGCGCGUAGGCGGCCUUCUAAGUCCGACGUGAAAUCCCCAGGCUUAACCUGGGAACUGCGUCGGAUACUGGAUGGCUUGAAUUCGGGAGAGGGAUGCAGAAUUCCAGGUGUAGCGGUGAAAUGCGUAGAUAUCUGGAGGAACACCGGUGGCGAAGGCGGCAUCCUGGACCGACACUGACGCUGAGGAGCGAAAGCCAGGGGAGCAAACGGG